rnacentral:lncRNA from 1 species
GGAACCGAAAGGAAAAAAAAAGAUAUGGCAGUAUUUGUGUUGGUAUAAAAUAUUAUUAGUUUGAAAAAUACAAUGGGUCUUUUACCAUAGCAACGCACGGGCAUUUUGCUAGUAAUACGUAAAUAGCAUGUUAUUCAUGUGAGUCACGGCAAUGACGACUUAACCCAAGUUGCCGAAAUAGACAUCUAUGCUUGCAGUCUGCUUUUAUCUAAAAGUUUUGCUGGAACCAAC